AAUGGGCGCAAGCCUGAUCUAGCCAUACCGCGUGAGUGAUGAAGGCCCUAGGGUCGUAAAGCUCUUUCGCCAGGGAUGAUAAUGACAGUACCUGGUAAAGAAGUCCCGGCUAACUCCGUGCCAGCAGCCGCGGUAAUACGGAGGGGACUAGCGUUGUUCGGAAUUACUGGGCGUAAAGCGCACGUAGGCGGACUGGAAAGUUGGGGGUGAAAUCCCGGGGCUCAACCCCGGAACUGCCUCCAAAACUCCCAGUCUAGAGUUCGAGAGAGGUGAGUGGAAUUCCGAGUGUAGAGGUGAAAUUCGUAGAUAUUCGGAGGAACACCAGUGGCGAAGGCGGCUCACUGGCUCGAUACUGACGCUGAGUUGCGAAAGCGUGGGGAGCAAACAGGAUU
rnacentral:rRNA from 1 species